rnacentral:lncRNA from 1 species
GGAUGAUUAAUUUUUCACAUCUCUUUUCAUUAUAUUACAAACAUGUUUCGUCUUCGUCGCCGCUACGGAAACAUGAUUUAUUCGAGAUACAAGCCUCCGAUGGAGAUGAUGUUUUGGAAUAUCUGUCGUUUCGAGCAACUAAAGAGGGUGUUGGUUCAUUGGUUAGACAGAAACAUACCUGAAGGCGAAAAAAUUAGAAGUAUUGAGAGACUCGAUGCCGUACGUGGUUGGGUGCGAGUAAAAAAUGAUAAGGAUGUUAGGGAAGUGAUGUUUGGCCUAGAUGACAUCAGUUUGAUUGUUGUAAUCAGUUAAAAAUGUUGUUUUUAAAUGUUGUGGUUAAGUAUUUUCAUCUGUUU